AUGCGAUGUAAAAGGAGAGAUGGUCAGCACUCCCCUUGAUAAGCAGGAAGAAGAGAAAGAAGACAGAAAGAAAGUGAGAAAGGGGGGCGAAUUUCUCUUCGCGCGGAGUCGGGAAUUUUUU
rnacentral:ncRNA from 1 species